GAGGGUAUAGCUCAAGUGGUAGAGUGACUUAGCAUGCACGAGGUCCUGGGUUCAAUCCCCAGUACCUCCC
rnacentral:tRNA from 1 species